rnacentral:pre_miRNA from 1 species
AAAAAGACAAACCCUGGUUUCCGUGCCCAACAUUUGACCAUCUGUCUUAUUUCAAAUAAUUAUGAAAAAAAUUAAAAGACAAGUCACGCAUAAAAUAUUAAUCAUGUUUUAUCAUCUAACAACAAUGAAAAUAUAAAUUACAAAAAAAUUUCAUAUAAGACGGACAGUCAAAGUUGGACACGGAAAUCUAGGGUUUGCCUUUUU